CGGUCCACAAAACAUUCUCCUUUCCUUCUGAAGGUUUUACCAUGCAUUGUUAUCAUUAACCAGUCUUUUACUAUUAAACU